rnacentral:piRNA from 1 species
UCUUGUGUUCCAGACACUUGGUUCCAGGA